rnacentral:lncRNA from 1 species
UUAGGAUUUAGGGUUUGGAUUAGGGUUUGAUUUAGGAUUUAGGAUUUUAUUAGGAUUUGUUUUAGGGUUUAGGAUUUAGGAUUUGGAUUAAGGUUUGGUUUAGGAUUUUAUUAGGAUUUUAUUUAGGGUUUAGGAUUUAGUUAGAAUUUGAUUAAGAGUUUAGGAUUUAGGUAGGAUUUGUAUAGGAUUUAGGAUUUGGAUUAGGUUUUGGUUAGGAUUUGAUUUAGAAUUUAGGAUUUAGUUUAAGAUUUGAUUAGGAUUUGGUUUAGGAUUUGAUUGGGAUUUGUUUAAGAUUUGAUUUAGAGUUUAGGAUUUUAUUAGGAUUUUAGAUUCAAUUAUUUUUGGCCUAAAGUUUGAAUGAAGUUCAAUAGGAUUUUAAAUAGAAUUAAAUUAAGAUUGAAUUGAAAUGUAUUUGAGUGAUAUUUGUGAUCCUUCUAAUAUUUCUUUCAGAAUUCUUAUUGUUU